rnacentral:lncRNA from 1 species
AAUACUGGGUUCCACCAUAUCAACUAAUUAUGCCAGAAAGUUGAACAAGAUGAUCAAUCAAGAGUAUGUAAACAUCUGUCAAAGAUAUUUAAGUACAUGAAAAAAAAUCAAAACACCCUCUUGGCCUCUUCAACUACAUGGCCAACUGGACCAUCACAGGCACUAAUGAGUGAGUACGUGUAAGUUGAACCAUCUCAGGCACAAGGAAUUCUACAUAUCAAACUGGACUAUCCCUGGAACAAUUGUUGAGUACAUGUCACACUAGAGCAUCCCAGGCACAACACAAGAAGAUAUACAUAAAGUUAUAAAUAACAUGACAGGAUCAACAACCAUUGCUAGCGAAAACUGCAUCAACGUUGCUACUUUGAUGGUACAGAACAGUUGCCUCCAGCCGUAGUGCUUCUUGCUCGAGCUUCUUGUCCUGGGAGACAUCAAACUAACAAAUACGAUUGAGUUAGCACAAGUCCAUGUAUGUGUCAUACAUUCAUGCUUACACCUGUGUGCUGCACAUACCUAAAUGUUUUUUAUGCUAAAACUGGCAGACAAGCCAACUACUUUGUGGAUCAUCCUAACUUACCAAUAAUGUAACAAAUUAUAUAAACAUUAUUUAUCCUGUACAGGAAAAGCACUCCAGUGCAUUUUAUUCAUAUAGUCAGACACAAACAACCGGCGGAAUUAGGCAAUACAAUUAUUUUUACAUAUAAGCUUGAGCUCACAUGCGAAAGCAGAAUCCUAUUAGAAAUCCAUCCUUUAUAAGCCUUGCCAUUAUCAAAGUCUGUCGAAUGUAAAAAUAAGAAAAAAAACAUAUCAUAUGAUAAAAUAAUGUGCUGAAUCCUCGAAGCCACUGGACAUUUUUAUCAAUCAAAACUGGUCACGAGUUCGAGAAGAAUAACAUUAGCAGACCCACCCUAAUAUAACUAGUGAACCAUGUAUUAAGUAUAAUAAUACACACAACAAUGUCUAUUCUCGACAUUGUAUAGCGUGAAAAAUAUGCACGCUGCAAAUAGUCAUUUCUACACUUACCAUAACAUCAUCACUAUAGAAGCAUUGCGGAAUUAAUCGUUGAGCACUGUUGACCGAUUCCAUGGCUGCAAAGAAUUUUCACGAACAUGGGAUCAACAUAAUGUUAGGCACAUCAAACAUAUUCUUACUUUCUUGGACCGAUGUUCUCACCUGAUAGUGCUGCUGCACAUGCUAUCUUUCAAAACAACAGGAAUUCAAUUGUCACCAUGGAGCCCGAGAUCAUUUAUCUUUCAAAACAACAAGCAAGAACCUUUGCUUUUCUAGUGACUCGUAACUCAUAAUAAGGUCACAAAGCCGCAGGAAGAUGUGAAAUACAGGUUCAAGAUUUUUCUGUUAACAAGGUUUAUUAAUGUACAACAUACAACUGAUGAUUUCUACCUCAGUUGGGUUUUCAGGAAUCAGGAUUAUUGUGUGCGCCGGUAUACAAUAACUCUCCAAACAAAAACUCUAUUUGACCAGAAAAGAACUCAACAAGAACAAAUCGUAUUUCAUUAGUGCAUCCUAAGUUUGUUGUCGGAGUCUACUAGCAAUAAUUCUUUGGCAUUCUAUUCUUACUCUCCCGGGGUAAUUUCUCUCCUACCCACCUUAUAUAUAUUACAGUAGCACUAGUAGUACUACGGAUGUACUAGUAGUCUAGUACCCAUUGACAUCCUAGCAUACAGUAGAAUAAGGAGAAGAAAAAGAAAUCUAGGCUUGCUAUAUGUGCCACUCAGAUAGGUAUUUCAGGUUGUACAAUUUGCUGCCCCUUACUAUUCAGGUCAGAUUCUACUUGCCCAAAUGUUACAUUGGUUAAUUUGUUUUUUCUCUUCUUUUCACCAAACAUAUAGUAUAAUGUAUGCUCAUGGAUCGAGUCUGCUAAUGGCUCCAUCCAUGUCUUGAACUAAUGGUCAGAACUCAGAAGGGUGUGUCUAGAACUGCUAAAUUAUAAUACAAUACAUUUAUUAUAGGAAUUGGUAAUUGUAAUCUUCACAAUUAAAAAGAGCUAACUGUCCAUCAACUUUUCACCGAAUGGAUGCGUCUUGUGACGAACGGAACAACCGUAGAUAUUAAUAUUUUCAGCGCAAUGUCCUAAUUUCAAAUUAAGGAUUAUCUACCCGUCCUCAACCUACUAACUUGGUUCUCCAGAGUACUUAACAGUUAAACAGAAUGUCCAAAUUAGACUGCCAAACCACCAAGAACAGUAGCAAUACAUCAUCAAAUCGAAGUUGCAAAAGUGCAACAUUCACACACGAGCUGAUUUGACAUGAACAAGUACAAGAAAAUAAAACUAUAGAUAUGCAUCAUACACUCUACUAGCUAAUAAAAUUGAGAUGAAGCACAAAAGUACUAGCUAAUACUACAAGUUAACAUCUACUCCAUCGCAGGUGAAUGAUUAACCACCAAAAAAAUUGAGAUGGAGUAUUAACUUGUGGAGUAUUUACUAGAAAAAUUAACCACCAUGGUGACACCUUGUAGCUUCGCACCACGUCACAGGGGCCGGUCCGGAAGGAGCCGAGGAGCUCACCAACGACUUGCAGCCGACGAGGUCGAGGAGGACGCGGGCUGAUGCUGUAGAGGCGGUGACGAAUCAGCCGCUGCCGGAGCCUGAGAUGGGAGGCCGUGACGAGCACACUGCGGCGCGGAUCUUAGCAGUCCACGAGCUCCGAUCUGGUCGGCUUCAAACUGGGCCACCGGCGGCACCGCGGGCACAAGCCAUCGGAGAGAUGGAACAUCACCUCGGGUGUGCGUACUCGCUGGUUGAGGGGUCCGGCCCGGCGCCGUCGCCGCCGUUGUGGAGGGGAAUUUUAGGUCGCUGCGACUGCGUACGUACGGGAUUGGGUUUGAACAAGGACAUG